UUGGGGAAUUUUCCGCAAUGGGCGAAAGCCUGACGGAGCAACGCCGCGUGAGGGAGGAAGGUCUUUGGAUUGUAAACCUCUUUUCUCAAGGAAGAAGUUCUGACGGUACUUGAGGAAUCAGCCUCGGCUAACUCCGUGCCAGCAGCCGCGGUAAUACGGGGGAGGCAAGCGUUAUCCGGAAUUAUUGGGCGUAAAGCGUCCGCAGGUGGUCAGCCAAGUCUGCUGUCAAAUCAGGUUGCUUAACGACCUAAAGGCGGUGGAAACUGGCAGACUAGAGAGCAGUAGGGGUAGCAGGAAUUCCCAGUGUAGCGGUGAAAUGCGUAGAGAUUGGGAAGAACAUCGGUGGCGAAAGCGUGCUACUGGGCUGUAUCUGACACUCAGGGACGAAAGCUAGGGGAGCGAAAGGGAUUAGAUACCCCUAUAGUC
rnacentral:rRNA from 1 species